rnacentral:rRNA from 1 species
AACGUAGGUACCGAGCGUUAUCCGGAUUUACUGGGCGUAAAGCGCGUUCAGGCGGUUUGGCAAGUCGGGCAUGAAAUCUCUCGGCUCAACCGGGAGAGGUUGUCCGAUACUUCCAGACUUGAGGGCAGUAGAGGGUGGUGGAAUUCCGGGUGUAGUGGUGAAAUGCGUAGAUAUCCGGAGGAACACCAGUGGCGAAAGCGGCCACCUGGACCGCACCUGACGCUGACACGCGAAAGCUAGGGGAGCGAACGGG